rnacentral:rRNA from 1 species
GAUGAACGCUAGCGGCAGGCUUAACACAUGCAAGUCGAGGGGCAGCAUGGACUAGCAAUAGUCUGAUGGCGACCGGCAAACGGGUGCGGAACACGUACAGAAUCUACCUUUAUCUGGGGCAUAGCCCGAAGAAAUUCGGAUUAAUACCCCAUAAUAUAUUUAAGUGGCAUCACUUUGAAUAUUAAAACUCCGGUGGAUAG